rnacentral:tRNA from 1 species
AAGAACUUAGUUAAAUACCAUAACAUUAAUUUGUCAAGUUAAAAUUAUCUAAAAGAUAGCUCUUA